UAAUGGGUCAGCGACUUAUAUUCUGUAGCAAGGUUAACCGAAUAGGGGAGCCGAAGGGAAACCGAGUCUUAACUGGGCGUUAAGUUGCAGGGUAUAGACCCGAAACCCGGUGAUCUAGCCAUGGGCAGGUUGAAGGUUGGGUAACACUAACUGGAGGACCGAACCGACUAAUGUUGAAAAAUUAGCGGAUGACUUGUGGCUGGGGGUGAAAGGCCAAUCAAACCGGGAGAUAGCUGGUUCUCCCCGAAAGCUAUUUAGGUAGCGCCUCGUGAAUUCAUCUCCGGGGGUAGAGCACUGUUUCGGCAAGGGGGUCAUCCCGACUUACCAACCCGAUGCAAACUGCGAAUACCGGAGAAUGUUAUCACGGGAGACACACGGCGGGUGCUAACGUCCGUCGUGAAGAGGGAAACAACCCAGACCGCCAGCUAAGGUCCCAAAGUCAUGGUUAAGUGGGAAACGAUGUGGGAAGGCCCAGACAGCCAGGAUGUUGGCUUAGAAGCAGCCAUCAUUUAAAGAAAGCGUAAUAGCUCACUGGUCGAGUCGGCCUGCGCGGAAGAUGUAACGGGGCUAAACCAUGCACCGAAGCUGCGGCAGCGACACUAUGUGUUGUUGGGUAGGGGAGCGUUCUGUAAGCCUGUGAAGGUGGCCUGUGAGGGUUGCUGGAGGUAUCAGAAGUGCGAAUGCUGACAUAAGUAACGAUAAAGCGGGUGAAAAGCCCGCUCGCCGGAAGACCAAGGGUUCCUGUCCAACGUUAAUCGGGGCAGGGUGAGUCGACCCCUAAGGCGAGGCCGAAAGGCGUAGUCGAUGGGAAACAGGUUAAUAUUCCUGUACUUGGUGUUACUGCGAAGGGGGGACGGAGAAGGCUAUGUUGGCCGGGCGACGGUUGUCCCGGUUUAAGCGUGUAGGCUGGU
rnacentral:rRNA from 1 species